AACGAACGCUGGCGGCAUGCCUAACACAUGCAAGUCGAACGAGACCUUCGGGUCUAGUGGCGCACGGGUGCGUAACGCGUGGGAACCUGCCCUUAGGUUCGGAAUAACUCCCCGAAAGGGGUGCUAAUACCGGAUAAGGUCUUCGGACCAAAGAUUUAUCGCCUUUGGAUGGGCCCGCGUUGGAUUAGCUAGUUGGUAGGGUAAAAGCCUACCAAGGCGACGAUCCAUAGCUGGUCUGAGAGGAUGAUCAGCCACACUGGGACUGAGACACGGCCCAGACUCCUACGGGAGGCAGCAGUGGGGAAUAUUGGACAAUGGGCGAAAGCCUGAUCCAGCAAUGCCGCGUGAGUGAUGAAGGCCUUAGGGUUGUAAAGCUCUUUUACCCGGGAUGAUAAUGACAGUACCGGGAGAAUAAGCUCCGGCUAACUCCGUG
rnacentral:rRNA from 1 species